AUUUACAUAAUACCCCCUAUUAUUUUUCAUAUAGCCCCCUAGUUCAGGCCGGGUCCUCCUCUCACCAGUCCGGCGCCGCCUGCCGCCGCCUCCGCCCGCUGCCGUCCGCCGCAAGUGCAUAGCCUCCCCACUGACCCAUCAGUGGCCUCCGAUCAAAACGAUCCGCACCCACUUGCUCCCGCGGGCCGCAGCACAUCUGACCGAGGCGGGCGCCGGUCAUUUGCCGCACGACCGAGCUCGCACCCGCUGGGCGUGCAAGCCUGCAAGGCGAGCUCCGGCAGUGGCAGACCGGAGACGUGUUUGUGGAGACGCCACACCCUCUUGGCCCGCGACGGGGCUGCCGCCGAGAGUCGUGGUGUUCGCCACCUGCGGAAGCUGCUCGGUGAAAUGCGGCACCAGGUCAUAGGGAAGGAAAUUUGCGGUGAUAGGUUCUGGUGGAGAUCCUCAAGUUGUUAGAUGUUGUAGAACAAAUCGAAAAUCCGUUUCUGAAUGGCUGGGAAUUUGAUACUGGAAAUGUGAAUUCAACAGUUUACCCAGGGUGCGUGAUGAUUGGUUGUAUUGCUGCUGCAGGUAGAAUGAAUGUUCAGGUCUAGAGGCUGCAGUUCAUGCAAUCAAGCCACUGGGCUUGUAUGCGUUCUGCCGCGACCCUCCUCAGGUUGUCGGCGACCGUGCCCUUGCCCCAAGCGUCGCCAACAGCGCCGCUCCACCUGGCCGGCGGCGGAGCCAGUACACAUCCAGGGCAUGAAGGUGAGCCUUAGGUCCCUCUCUCCCUUGGGCGAGCUGAGCAUCCUUGGUUGGGCCUAGCGAUAUGUGGGAUCUGUCCAUCCACAACCUCUGGUUCUUAAGCAGGAUAAAACUGUGAGUGAUAUUCAGAAAAAUUUUGGUUGGAUCCAUUACCUUUACCUUGGAAGAAGCUUGGGAAAUCUUGGGCGCCCAGAAAAUGCAAAACCUUUGUGUGGCUGGCAAUUAGGAAUCGUUGUUGGACGGCUGAUCGUUUGCAAAAAAGGGGACUGCCUCACCCGGAGCGUUGCCCUCCUUGUGACCAAGAGGAAGAAACGGCCCAACACAUUCACACUUCUUACGUCUUCGCAAGGCAGUAUUGGUAUGCUGUUUUACAGCCUCUUAACAUGGUAAGGCUAACACGUACUAGAUCUGUGGCCUUUGCUGAUUGGUGGAUGCGAGCAGAGAAAAAACUACUGAAGGGGUUCCAUACCUACUGUAUCUUGGGAGCCUGGACCCUUUGGAAACAUAGGAAUGCUUGUGUUUUUGGAGGUGCAUCUCCAGAUCUACAGGCAACAAUCCAAGCUUUCAAAGAUGAAGCUAACCUAUGGAAGUUUGCAGGGGCUAAAGGUCUAUCCUCCCUUUGCCUUGAGUUGGGAGGAAACCGAGUCUAAGUUCCUGGGUUCCCUUGGUCUGGUCCUGAGUUUUUAGUUAUCCUGUAAUAGCUCUUUGCUCGGCUUUUCUCAUUUCUAGUCCAAGGUGAGAAUUGCUUCUUGUGUAAUUGGACCACUCAUUUUUCUCUCUUAAUACAAAGAUGCGCAGCUCUCCUGCAUGUUCGAUAAAAAAAAUUGUGAGUGAUAUUGUGUACCAAUAACACAAUGUUAGUUUAUUUGGAACCAUGAUUAGUCAUCUUAAUCAAUUUUCCAUGUUUCGGUUUAAGAGGGUCUCCUUCUGUCCUCAAAUGAAUUUGUAGCCAUGCAGUAUCUGUUCUUUUUAGCCUCAUGUCAUGUCCUGAUGGUUUAGCAGGGUGGGUGGGUGGUCUGCAUCUGGUGUGCAUCAGUGAUGUUCCCGAUUCAUGUUAAUUUCUUUGCAACCCGAAUUCAGUCUUUGAUAAAUAAUGAAAUCCAGGGAUGCUAAACAUGUUAGUUUCAUGGGCAUAACAGCUAGUUUUACAUGUCAAGGUAAGAGUGCUUGAAACAGCAGCUCUUGGCUAGGAAUUGACCAUGCAAUCCAAUUUCUGUCUUGUGUGAUCAAGAACUUGAAACAGCAGCUCACUUGUGUCUGAACUGCAGCUUUGCGAAAGAAGUGUGGCACUUGCUCCUUUCUUGGGCUAACCUGAGCAUUCAGACAAUUCUGGCUAAUGAUCAGGAUAUUCAAGCUUGGUGGGCUAUGGCUCUGAAGCCACAUUCUGUUAAAAACAAAGGUCAGUAGUGGCCAUCCUGAUGAUCACAGUUUUGGAAUGUCUGGAAUGGAAGAAACAGAAGAGUGUUUGACAACAGGUCACUACAGCUGGUUCUGGUGUUCCACUCGAUCAAAACUGAGUUGCUGCAGUGUGUGGCGGCCUAUGGGAGGCCAGAGCUUUCUUAGUUUUUACGUUAGUGUUACCUCACUUGUUCUUGCGCUUGUGUGUGUGUCAAUUUAUUUUUGUAAUAUCUCUUAUGCAAGACUCUCCAAAAAGGUGAGUGCUAGCAUGUAUUCUCUGCUGAGUGCUGAAAUUCUUGAUAGGAUGUAGAGAUAGCUUGAGUGAUCCUUUUAUGAAUCAGUGCUUGUGCAUUGCUACCUGCCUUGCUAACACAAUAUGUCAAUAUUAGCCCUGUUACUGUAUUUGGUUCUCAUCUUAUAUGUAUCCUUCUCAGGACUUGUUCUUUUCUGUCGAUUUAUGCAUUCUCCUUUGCUCAUUGGGAAUUUGGGUCCUUUCUAGUCAGAUUCGAGUUGUUUGUUUAGCUCAUCACACAAAUAUUAAGCAUUAUUAUAUCUUUUUUGGUACUGCAUUAACCCGUUCUCACUUCUCACAAAGUAGUUAAAUGUGGUCCAUUUUGACACUUGAGUUGCAUUCUGUGAAUAAUGCAGUUUAUUCUUAUUAUUUUGUGUAGAGAUCAGUAUUCCAAUUCAUUUUUACUUGUCAUUUUGUAAAGCUACAAUCUUAUGUAUAUUCAUUUACAUUUCUUUCCAUGACAUUUGCAUAAGUGCAGAGUGCCAGUCUCUCAAACAUCCAGCAGGAGCAGAGUUUCCCUUCCCCAUCAACAUCCACCUGGGGCAGCAGUAGGAUUUAGCUCCUUGCAUGCUGGACCAAGUCAAGUUCCAGCCUAUCAAGGCGAAGUAUGAUUUAGCUCAAUGUUCGAGCAGACGAAUCGUUUAUGUGUUGUAAUUUUGCUCAAUGUAAUCACAAAAUUGUUUUACCUUUGUGAUCAUACUAUUAAUCAACCGUAUGUACGUGUGUAAAUAUAUUUUUGAUUGAGGCAGUAAAGUCGUUUCCAGCUUGUCGCGUAA